ACCCAUGGAAACCUCCUUUUCCACGGAUCUACACACCCACCCACGCCCACCCAUGGAUGGAUGGAUGGAUGGGGCGCACCAGUUCUGGCGACGGCGACGCCGGAUCCACACCCACCUGCACAAUGGAGGCCUGCCGCAUCGGGAUCCACCGCCUGCUCUCGGUCUGGUGCGGCACACCGGACCACACCGGAGAUUGCUACUGCGGUGGCCGUCGACGACAGCGCAUCUCUGGCGGGACCUAGAUGCCCAAGGCAUGCAUCCGUGGUUGGUGACCUUGCGUGCCGCCAUUGCCGGAGGCUGGCUGGUUGGACGGGCAUCCGGAAUGCCGGUGUUUGCAGCCUUACAUCUCAGGGAAGACGCUUGCUAAAAUGUGUGCAUGCCAAGAUUCCUACAGUUCCAGACUGAUUAGUGAGCUUACAUUUCUAAGGGUGGAUCGAUUAGCAUACUCUGCCUACUGAAUGCCAGUCUGAGAGGUAGCAUCUGCUAUCGUCAGGUUAUAUAAGCUCGUGUGGAUGGGAGGUGGAUGCCAGCACGGAUCCAGUGUCUCCGACCUCGGCAUCCACAAGGAGGAGCGGCGACAAUUACAUACCCAACCAUGGGGCAGCAGCAAUUCAUUGUUGAGCCUCCCUCUACCUCUCUCACAUUCCCUUAUUUUGCUGCUGCUCUAAAUUCACUUUCACUUGAUUGAAUCUAGUGCUACUGCUGUCAGUCCCUAGUCCCUAGUGCUACUGCUCUAAAUUCACUUGCAUGUUUGACUAAAUCAUAAAAGAAUGAAUAGGUGUUGGCUCUAGAGUGCUAGCUCGUAUACUCUAGCAGGCGAAGCACGUACGUGCAAGCUAACUUCAACAAAGCAGACUAGUAGCUUAAUUGAUUAUUUGUUAGCUAGUAGUACUCGGACGUGCAGUCUCACGUAUACGUACGAGCUUAGCAGAGCUAGCUAAGCUAGCGACUGAUCGAUCUGACUUCUUGCGGCCGACCGUAGCGACUUUGUAACUCAGCGAACUGAAAAACGAUGGAGAUUUUGUGGAUAGCCACAGGGGCGUGUCGCUCCUGGAUUUCUUUGUAUUGCUUUGAUCGACUUAGAAAGAUUACAAUGGCUGGGUGCACUUAUGAUGCACUUAGUGUGCCACCUCCAGAUGACUGACUGACUGUAUUUGUACUAGCGCGUGCUGACGAAGCAGGAACACACCCAAUGCCUUGGCAGGAACACAGAGUUGCGGAGAGCAGCAGCUCGCAAUCGUGGUCAGGGACCGACCGUCCGAGAGUAGACCGUGGAGACGUGGAGUUCAGUCCAGGAAGUUCCUUGACAUUGCAGUCACGUAGAUUUUGCUGGUUGUGGCAUUGCUUGAAAUUGGGUUAUUGGAUAGCUGAAGCUGCGUUGGAUUUCUUCUAAUUUACUCCAGGAGACGAAGACCACGCUUCAUGAAUUCAGGGCGCCGCCGAGGUGGUCAUGUGGGAUCCUCUCGAACAGCGCGUGCUCGCUGUCGACUUCGAUGGCAGGGUCACCCGCUCCAUCGGCCCCCUCUCCGGCGGGAUGUACUACUCGGGUUUCAUCCCCUACGUCAACUCAUACACAGAGAUCUACAUCGAGACUUUGAUGUUUCUGAAUUCUGAUGUGAAAGCAUGUCUACGUCAGCUGAACUUUGCACGACUGUUCCUGUAGAUCGAUGGUGAUAUCAGCAUGCAUCCUAAUUGUCAAUCUCGAGUCUGCACUUCUAUUGGCCAAGUGUUCGUCGAUCUGCAAGCCUGUUUAAGAGCUGGAUUGGCCGGUCCAAUUCAACACGGAACUAUGUGUCUGUUGAAACUUUUCGUCUAUCAAGUGUCGCCUCACCGCCUCCGGCCACCCCGACGACGCCCUCGCCUUCGCCAACCUCCACUCCUCCAUGAGGUGAUUUGUUUCUUGCAAUUUGGAAGAGGAAGAUGAUGAAGCAUGGUUGUUAUCUAUCAAUAUGCCUUGUGUUCUGGUUGUACUUCAUAGCUAGUUACAUUGUAUUCUGUACUGGUCUGGUUGUAUGAACACUAUGUAAAGAUUGUAAUAGGCUAAUUUUGGCUAUCAUUUCGAGCAUAUAGUUAUGUUUCAUUUGAAAUAUUUGUCAUUUGUGUACUGUAAAAAUGUGAGAAAUAAAAAUCUGAUGAGUUGGACCUA